GACGAACGCUGGCGGCGUGCUUAACACAUGCAAGUCGAACGGGAUCCGGGCUUUCGGGUUUGGUGAGAGUGGCGAACGGGUGAGUAACACGUGAGUAACCUGCCCCCUUCUUUGGGAUAACGCCGGGAAAUCGGCGCUAAUACUGGAUAUUCUUGCUGCAUCGCAUGGUGUGGUUUGGAAAGGGUUUCUGGUGGGGGAUGGGCUCGCGGCCUAUCAGCUUGUUGGUGGGGUGAUGGCCUACCAAGGCUUUGACGGGUAGCCGGCCUGGGAGGGUGUCCGGCCACACUGGGACUGAGACACGGCCCAGACGCCAACGGGAGGAAGCAGAGGGGAAGAAUGGGCAGUGAGCGCAAGCCUGAUGCAGCGAGGCCGCGUGAGGGAUGACGGGCUUCGGGUUGUAAACCUCUUGCAGUAUGGAACAAGGAUCCUUCAUGUGGGGGGUUUGAGGGUACGUGCAGAAGAAGCGCCGGCUAACUACGUG
rnacentral:rRNA from 1 species